GUUGUUGUGGCCUUGGUUAAGGCAAUGGACUAGAAAUCCAUUGGGGUUUUUCCCAGCCCUUCUUUGCAGGUUCAAAUCCUGCCAACAAUG
rnacentral:tRNA from 1 species